AAAGUCGUAACAAGGUUUCCGUAGGUGAACCUGCGGAAGGAUCAUUACCAAGUAUAAUAUUGAAAAAUACUUGUUUUUUUUCUAUCCCAACCUGUGAACUUUACAAUUUUUUCUGUUUACCCUUUACACUCUUUUUUUUAAUAAAUUUUUAAAAACAAAAAUUUAAAAUAAAACUUUCAGCAACGGAUCUCUAGGCUCUU
rnacentral:misc_RNA from 1 species